rnacentral:misc_RNA from 1 species
GUGAAUGCCGGUCGCGCUCCGCGCCCUGCUCCGCCCCUCGCGGGCGUCGAGCGGUGCGGGCGCGGUCCGUGCGCGUCCCACUUAUCAAACCACUUGUGCACCUGUCCGGGGGUGAAACCCCGUAUACACAAACAACUGAAACGAAAUGAACCUUUUGGGGGCGACAUGCCUCUUAAACAUGUAACAACUUUCAACAACGGAUCUCUUGGCUCU